rnacentral:rRNA from 1 species
UACGGGGGGGGGGCAAGCGUUGUUCGGAAUUACUGGGCGUAAAGGGCUCGUAGGCGGCCAACUCAGUCGGACGUGAAAUCCCUCGGCUUAACCGGGGAACUGCGUCCGAUACUGGAUGGCUCGAGUGUGGGAGAGGGAUGCGGAAUUCCAGGUGUAGCGGUGAAAUGCGUAGAUAUCUGGAGGAACACCGGUGGCGAAGGCGGCAUCCUGGACUACUACUGACGCUGAGGUGCGAAAGCGUGGGGAGCAAACAGG